CACGUAGGGUGCGAGCGUUGUCCGGAAUUAUUGGGCGUAAAGAGCUCGUAGGCGGUGUGUCGCGUCGGCCGUGAAAACCUGCAGCUUAACUGUGGGCUUGCGGUCGAUACGGGCAUCACUGGAGUUCGGCAGGGGAGACUGGAAUUCCUGGUGUAGCGGUGAAAUGCGCAGAUAUCAGGAGGAACACCGGUGGCGAAGGCGGGUCUCUGGGCCGAUACUGACGCUGAGGAGCGAAGGCGUGGGGAGCAAAAGGG
rnacentral:rRNA from 1 species